AUAAACAGUGGGCUUGUUUCAACAUAAGCUGUUGUACAAUAAUAUUGCAGCAUUACAGUGCAGUAAAGUAAGUCGUGAUAGCAAUAAUGUAAUUACAAGUCUGGAAACCAACGCAUCCAUGAAGUGUACUACAGGUGUCAUAUCUGUAUACAGGCGUUUAUAAUAAAGGGUGCAAAUAUAAUGCAGUUAAAUAUGACAUACUGUGACAUUGCCGACAGAUAUUACAAAAUAAGUGGGCAUUUUUAUGAAGAUGUGCUUAAUGAACUCAAG